rnacentral:rRNA from 1 species
GAACGCUGGCGGCGUGCCUAAUACAUGCAAGUCGAGCGAACAGACGAGGAGCUUGCUCCUCUGACGUUAGCGGCGGACGGGUGAGUAACACGUGGAUAACCUACCUAUAAGACUGGGAUAACUUCGGGAAACCGGAGCUAAUACCGGAUAAUAUAUUGAACCGCAUGGUUCAAUAGUGAAAGACGGUUUUGCUGUCCCUUAUAGAUGGAUCCGCGCCGCAUUAGCUAGUUGGUAAGGUAACGGCUUACCAAGGCAACGAUGCGUAGCCGACCUGAGAGGGUGAUCGGCCACACUGGAACUGAGACACGGUCCAGACUCCUACGGGAGGCAGCAGUAGGGAAUCUUCCGCAAUGGGCGAAAGCCUGACGGAGCAACGCCGCGUGAGUGAUGAAGGUCUUCGGAUCGUAAAACUCUGUUAUUAGGGAAGAACAAAUGUGUAAGUAACUAUGCACGUCUUGACGGUACCUAAUCAGAAAGCCACGGCUAACUACGUG